GACGAACGCUGGCGGCGUGCUUAACACAUGCAAGUCGAACGGAAAGGCCCUGCUUUUGUGGGGUGCUCGAGUGGCGAACGGGUGAGUAACACGUGAGUAACCUGCCCUUGACUUUGGGAUAACUUCAGGAAACUGGGGCUAAUACCGGAUAGGAGCUCCUGCUGCAUGGUGUGGGUUGGAAAGUUUCGGCGGUUGGGGAUGGACUCGCGGCUUAUCAGCUUGUUGGUGGGGUAGUGGCUUACCAAGGCUUUGACGGGUAGCCGGCCUGAGAGGGUGACCGGCCACAAUAGGACUGAGAUACGGCCCAGACUCCUAUGGGAGGCAGCAGUGGGGAAUAUUGCACAAUGGGCGGAAGCCUGAUGCAGCAACGCCGCGUGCGGGAUGACGGCCUUCGGGUUGUAAACCGCUUUCGCCUGUGACGAAGCGUGAGUGACGGUAAUGGGUAAAGAAGCACCGGCUAACUACGUG
rnacentral:rRNA from 1 species